rnacentral:rRNA from 1 species
AUACAGAGGCUGCGAGCGUUAAUCGGAAUCACUGGGCGUAAAGGGCACGUAGGUGGAAUGUUAAGUAUUCUGUGAAAUCCCCGGGCUUAACCUGGGCCUGUCAGAAUAGACUGGCAUACUAGAGUACGGUAGAGGGAAGUGGAAUUUCCGGUGUAGCGGUGAAAUGCGUAGAUAUCGGAAGGAACACCCGUGGCGAAGGCGUCUUCCUGGACCGAGACUGACACUGAGGUGCGAAAGCGUGGGGAGCAAACAGGAUUAGAAACCCGAGUAGUCC